GACGAACGCUGGCGGCGUGCUUAACGCAUGCCAGUCGAACGGAAGGGCCCUGCUUUUGUGGGGUGCUCGAGUGGCGAACGGGUGAGUAACACGUGAGUAACCUGCCCUUGACUUUGGGAUAACUUCAGGAAACUGGGGCUAAUACCGGAUAGGAGCUCCUGCUGCAUGGUGGGGGUUGGAAAGUUUCGGCGGUUGGGGAUGGACUCGCGGCUUAUCAGCUUGUUGGUGGGGUAGUGGCUUACCAAGGCUUUGACGGGUAGCCGGCCUGAGAGGGUGACCGGCCACAUUGGGACUGAGAUACGGCCCAGACUCCUACGGGAGGCAGCAGUGGGGAAUAUUGCACAAUGGGCGGAAGCCUGAUGCAGCAACGCCGCGUGCGGGAUGACGGCCUUCGGGUUGUAAACCGCUUUCGCCUGUGACGAAGCGUGAGUGACGGUAAUGGGUAAAGAAGCACCGGCUAACUACGUG
rnacentral:rRNA from 1 species